rnacentral:rRNA from 1 species
UCUGACCGAGCAACGCCGCGUGAGUGAAGAAGGUUUUCGGAUCGUAAAGCUCUGUUGUAAGAGAAGAACGAGUGUGAGAGUGGAAAGUUCACACUGUGACGGUAUCUUACCAGAAAGGGACGGCUAACUACGUGCCAGCAGCCGCGGUAAUACGUAGGUCCCGAGCGUUGUCCGGAUUUAUUGGGCGUAAAGCGAGCGCAGGCGGUUAGAUAAGUCUGAAGUUAAAGGCUGUGGCUUAACCAUAGUACGCUUUGGAAACUGUUUAACUUGAGUGCAGAAGGGGAGAGUGGAAUUCCAUGUGUAGCGGUGAAAUGCGUAGAUAUAUGGAGGAACACCGGUGGCGAAAGCGGCUCUCUGGUCUGUAACUGACGCUGAGGCUCGAAAGCGUGGGGAGCAAACAGGAUUAGAUACCCUGGUAGUUCACGCCGUAAACGAUGAGUGCUAGGUGUGGGUCCUUUCCGGGACUCAGUGCCGCAGCUAACGCAUUAAGCACUCCGCCUGGGGGAGUACGAACGCAGGUUGAACUC